AACGAACGCUGGCGGCAUGCCUAACACAUGCAAGUCGAACGAGACCUCCGGGUCUAGUGGCGCACGGGUGCGUAACGCGUGGGAACCUGCCCUUAGGUUCGGAAUAACUCCCCGAAAGGGGUGCUAAUACCGGAUAAUGUCUUCGGACCAAAGAUUUAUCGCCUUUGGAUGGGCCCGCGUUGGAUUAGCUAGUUGGUAGGGUAAAAGCAUACCAAGGCGACGAUCCAUAACUGGUCUGAGAGGAUGAUCAGCCACACUGGGACUGAGACACGGCCCAGACUCCUACGGGAGGGAGCAGUGGGGAAUAUUGGACAAUGGGCGAAAGCCUGAUCCAGCAAGGCCGCGUGAGUGAUGAAGGCAUUAGGGUUGUAAAGCUCUUUUACCCGGGAUGAUAAUGACAGUACCGGGAGAAUAAGCUCCGGCUAACUCCGUG
rnacentral:rRNA from 1 species